AUGCAAUGUCAAUAUCCUGAUAUGUCUGCAGGAAGGAGGCAUUUCCUCUAUUCCCAUAUUCAUGGAUACGCAUUUUUUCAUUUGAUAGGGAAGGACUGGACCUUGGAAAAGAAUUCCUUGACUUUGAUGAUUACAAAUGAGACACAAGAGGAGAAUGUAUGCACAGAGCUCCCAAGAAGGAUAGAGGUUCUUCUACGGUGGUUGAACUAAGAACUUUACCUUGGAUAAAACUUGCUCUACGGACUGAGUUCCCAGGAUCCAGAAAAUCCAAUUAUGAUGGGACCACAUGAGCGUGCUACCUUCUCAUUACCCCUAGCAGCACAGAACCUGCUGUCUGUGAACAAGCUGGCAUUUUUUUAAAGGUUAAUGUGGAACUCUCCUCAUUUGGAAAUAAGAUUUUAAAGAAGAAAAUCAUCUCACCUGGCUGUUGAAGACUAUUUUGAAGUCCUAGGAGAAACCUGCAACAAUAUUACACCGUUAGUACAGAGAUAAUUUAUUGGCAUCAAAGUAAUCAAGCCUGAAUUACAGUUUUUUUCUUUUUUUUUUUUUUUUUUUUUUUUUUUUUUUGCUUUCAAUGCAUGUAUCUGAGUAUUAGUUGGUUGGUUUCAAAAGGGGUUUCAACUCACCAAGACCAAAUUUCCUUAUGAAGCUGUUACCACCAUCACCACUGUUACUAUUCCCCAAACCACAUUCUUCAUUGGAUCUUGGUACUUCAGUUAAAGCACUUAUGUUUAUAUCAUAAUCACUUUGUAUGUGCAUUUGUCUCUCUAACCAGAUUAUCAACCCCUUAGAGGUGGGAAAAUAUCUUUUUUAAUCUUUGUAUGAAGUAUACAAAGUGUCUGAUGGAUGAUGACCUAGAAGGCGAUCUAUAACUAUUGACUCAGUUAAAUUAUAUACUUUUCCCCCAAUCAUGCAACUGUAUUAAAUACAGUGAAUAUAAUUAGUAUUUUUCAUAAGUUUUUAUGACAUUAAAGAUUAACCUCUUUUUCUAGCUAUGAGUCAUAAACUGGGAAAAAUGGAAAGAAAAAAAUUAAAGAAAAAUAGAAAGAAAAAAUAUUACCAAAAAUAUAGUUUCAAAACAAAAGUAAAUUUUGGAAUAAUUAUUUCCAGAAAUUUAACUGGAUUACAUCUACCCUUUCAUUCCAGAAAAAAGUGCUAAUAAUGAAUGGCUUCCUAAUUUUUAUUAUUCUCCUAGCAUCUACUGCAGGUGUGACUCAGCAUUCUCCACCUCUCCCAACUCUUUCCCUGGAGCAGCAUCUACUUUCUCUAUUUUUACUGAUACUAUAAUAAUAUAUAAUAAUAUUAUAUACUAAUAAAACUAUAUAACCAACGUGAAAUUGAGAAGUGAGGAAACUGGAUAAUGUAUGCUUCCAACAUUUUUUUAAGCUCCAAAUUUAGGGAAACUGCUCUGCACCUACACCUGUGCAACCUGGAAGUGCAGGCAAAAUAAUGCCCCACAGGAC
rnacentral:lncRNA from 1 species